CACGUAGGGCGCAAGCGUUGUCCGGAAUUAUUGGGCGUAAAGAGCUCGUAGGCGGUCUGUUGCGUCCGCUGUGAAAACCCGGGGCUUAACCCUGGGCUGGCAGUGGAUACGGACAGACUAGAGGUAGGUAGGGGAGAAUGGAAUUCCCGGUGUAGCGGUGAAAUGCGUAGAUAUCUGGAGGAACACCGGUGGCGAAGGCGGCAUCCUGGACCAACACUGACGCUGAGUGAGCGAAAGCCAGGGGAGCAAACGGG
rnacentral:rRNA from 1 species